UACGUAGGGUGCGAGCGUUAAUCGGAAUUACUGGGCGUAAAGCGUGCGCAGGCGGUUCGUGAUGUCUGAUGUGAAAGCCCCGGGCUCAACCUGGGAACUGCAUUGGAAACUGGCGGGCUGGAGUGUGGCAGAGGGGGGUGGAAUUCCACGUGUAGCAGUGAAAUGCGUAGAGAUGUGGAGGAACACCGAUGGCGAAGGCAGCCCCCUGGGCUAACACUGACGCUCAUGCACGAAAGCGUGGGGAGCAAACAGG
rnacentral:rRNA from 1 species